UUGAACGCUGGCGGCAGGCCUAACACAUGCAAGUCGAACGGUAACAGGAAGAAGCUUGCUUCUUUGCUGACGAGUGGCGGACGGGUGAGUAAUGUCUGGGAAACUGCCUGAUGGAGGGGGAUAACUACUGGAAACGGUAGCUAAUACCGCAUAACGUCGCAAGACCAAAGAGGGGGACCUUCGGGCCUCUUGCCAUCGGAUGUGCCCAGAUGGGAUUAGCUAGUAGGUGGGGUAACGGCUCACCUAGGCGACGAUCCCUAGCUGGUCUGAGAGGAUGACCAGCCACACUGGAACUGAGACACGGUCCAGACUCCUACGGGAGGCAGCAGUGGGGCAUAUUGCACAAUGGGCGCAAGCCUGAUGCAGCCAUGCCGCGUGUAUGAAGAAGGCCUUCGGGUUGUAAAGUACUUUCAGCGGGGAGGAAGGGAGUAAAGUUAAUACCUUUGCUCAUUGACGUUACCCGCAGAAGAAGCACCGGCUAACUCCGUG
rnacentral:rRNA from 1 species